AGAGUUAUUAGGUCACGUACAAUCGUGUCAUAGCCCAGCCCUUCAGCUUUGGGUGGGGUUACCGCAUAAAGGCAGGACACGUGGGAUGAGUACGGUCAAGAUCUCGUAUCCCAGGAUUCAGGGUCAGACAGGGUCAGCGUUGUUUAAUCACGGGAACAAUGAGAGAAAUUCCAGUCUUUAUAGCUAUCCGGCCAAAACCUGUUUCAGGAAUAAUUCCAGUGGAUAGCAACACUUCUUAAAGGCAUCGGGCUGGUGCAGUAUUUGCCAGGAAGACACAUACCUAUAGAUACGAGCUUGUGCAGUCAGUCACCACAAGUUCGGAUCUACGGGUUUGUGGCAGCUGGCUUUACCCCUUUGAAAGCAGAUAAGGAAGACAAAACCCACAUAACCUUCAAACAAGCGAGUCAUUCUACUAUCUGAACCUUUAGCUCCGUUCAUUCAACAUACCACUCCUCUGAUUGAGCGCUGAAGCAAUGUGCUACAAUGGGCACACUGUAAUGUUGAUAACUUUCAGUAUGACACAGUGUUUGUUAUAUCUUUAUGCAACUAAUACAAGAACCAAGAGUCUGUUUAAAAUUUAAAAAUAAAUAAAUGCUUACGCGACAGAACCAAGGCAAUAAAAUACAAAACUGAUCUUUGUAUGUACUGCAUUAUUUAUAUUUGAUAUUUAUUUUAAUCCAUUCAUCCAUAUUUCAUGUAUCAAAUACAGACGAAUCUUUAAAUUAAACUAUGGUACAGGCCAGAGCACAUGACUGGUGAUGUUUCACCCGCUGGUCACAUGCUUUUGACGUCAACAUCAUUUUUUGAGGCAUCAAAAAGAAUAUUGUGUAGUUUUAUAACUGGACAUGAAAAACAUAAUAAAAAAAUAAAAUGGCUGAUACUGAUGAAUGAUUUCAGUGAAGAAAAUACAUUUGUUCUGUAUAAAAUGCUGUUUUGAGGAAAUAGCCUAAUAUGAAUGCGAUAUGGUGAGACCAUUUAUAUUCUUGGUAAAAAAAAAUGUAAAAAACGACAAGAACAGUUAUUGUCGCAAGGUUUAAAAACUAUAAUAUUUAAUUAUACAUCAAACACUGUGAACUAAAUUAAGACUAUGCAACCGAAAUAAGAUGCCGCGUGCACAAUACUGAACAUAAUGCCAGCUUUAAUUCUGAAAAUUCUGACAUUUUCUGUUACCCUAAUGUGUUUUUGUGGACCGAAAAUAUAACGCAACAAAACAAACAACAGACACCAUCAAAAGGCAUGCACCGUGAAUCUAAUCGCACCAGACCAAAUAACAUGAAACACUCCAAAAGUCAGAAAACUACUAGCAUUUAAAUCGCCAACAUACCAGUAGGUCACUGGAUGGACCUGAUGGUCAAAUGUCCUCCAGAAUAUGAUGGAGUCAGGCUUGAGGAGUACUGUAGGCCAGUGCUUAAGCAUAAAUCAAGAAACCUAUAAAAACAAACAUACAAGUCAUCACAAACUAAUUGUGAAUGAACAGCAAGUCCAACAUUCACAGAUAAGACACCCAUGUACACACGUUCCCAAAACCACACUUACAAACACGUGGUAAUCCGAGAUCGCCCUUAAAGUACAUGAACGACUUCAAAAUACAAGCAGCACAACAAUUCAAUAAUACUAUCAGUGAAAAAAAGGAUAAAUAACAACAAAAAGUAAGAAGAUAACGUCCCCUCGUUUCCUGCCUGCUACGCCCUUAUAACCCGCUGUCCAGUCCCCAUUUUUCAGGGGUACAAAAACCUAAAAUCGGCUUUAAAAAAAGGUACGGCAAGAGAGAAAUGGCAAAAGGUUGAAUGCGGUAAGAUGUGGAUGAGGAGGAGUCGCAGCGCAGAGCUGGCUACAGAGAAAGUGGAAUUUGUGACCAAGCAAAGGAAAGGGUGGUGUUUUCUUUUUUUUUUUUUUUUUUUUUUUUGGUGCUUCAUUCUGCUUGGCUUUUUUGGAUCCCAGCAGGAUCCUUGGCUGCUGCGCUGUCUCUUCCUAGUGCUGCCAAAAUUUGAACAUAUCCUUUUAUCUUAAACUUACAUGAAAUCAAAUUAAAAGAUAAGAGAGCCUAUACCUUAAAUGAAACAAGAGGUAACGGACCGGCCAAAAAAAAAAACUACAGCUCAAGUUAUAGACAAAAAGGAAACAGCAUGAGUGGAACUGCACAGAGGAGACGCUUGGCAGUUGAAUGCAAGGGGUAAAAAAAAUCACUUUAAAAAGAUCAAAAUGGAAGGUUUUUUCGCGUCAGAUUUUUUUUUUUUUCUUUGCAAACAUAUUAUCUCCCAAGUGUAAGCUGCAAAGUGCGCCUCCUCUGCUGCUAGAAAACAGCAGCCGAAGCCUUUCCAAAGCUAUGCCACGUAGUGAGAGAGGGAGAGAGAAAGCAGCUACUUUUUCCCCGCUCCAAAAUGGCUGAGGGCCGGGAGAAAGCAGCUCUGAGCAGAGAGGAAGAGAGGUGCUCCCCGUCCUGCUCAGGGGAGGGCUGGCCGAUUCAGUAAGCAUCUUUCCCUCGUUUCCUUCUCCUCACGCUUGCCUUUUGUCCCAUUAGCUGUCUUUCAGACCGACGAAUGGUGUACAGCUGUGUUGUCAGUCCAUAAGAAAGUCUACUUGGCCCACCAGGCAGGAGAGACCUACAACUGUAAACGAGAUAUUGCCAAGAACCAUGUCACAGUGCCGACACAGAGAAGGGCCUCUCCAAAAACAGAAGGUUGAAGAAAACAGAGUGACCGACAUGGGCAUAACCCCAGACCUCUAACAAGAGGCUGCUGUUGUUCCUGGCAAAACCCAGACAUACCGUCCACUCCAAUGAAACUAGAGCAACCUCCGUCUCUGGCUGAUGUUUGGGUGACAAAGGGAGAAAUGACCUUCUUCUCAAACUGUACAUGUCACCCAGUCCCACUACAAAGCCAAGGAAUACAACAUUCAAGUGCUGAAGUUUUUAAUGUUUUUUUUUUUUCUUUCUUGUAUCUCAAAAGUGACAAGUCUGGUCCAUACAAACACUAUAAACACGGAUCCUCCAGUGGACUGUCCAUCAUUCAUCAUUAGUCAAAUAUACACUCAUUUCUUUCCCUAAAAACUUUUUCGUAUUACAAUGUGUUUGAGGCCGUGAGUGAGUGCAACUCAAGCUGUAAUGGUUAACAUGAGGCUGUAAGUCUUACCUUUGUGCUAGUGCAGUGACCUUGAUGUUUUUUUGUUUUUUUAUUUCGUAUUACAACCUCUAACAGUUUGGUAAUUUCAUGGCUCACAGAGACGUUAUUUGUGUGGAAAUGGAUGGAGAAACUGCACUGGAAAGGAAUUCUAACAAAUAAGGUGCACUGAGCAUUUCAGCAGAAUACUGAAUAAGCCUGUGCCUUUAGCUGUUUAGACCCGGUUCCUCUCUGAGUUUCCACAUUGCCAACUACGUUCACAGUAAACAUUCACACACCCAUUUAAAAGCUACUUAAAAUCCACUAGAUUAAAUGUUACCUUUACUUUCCCACUUACUCCUAACUGAUGACUUCAUACUAUAUGAUUUAGUAUAAAAUAAAUUACAAAAACAACAUAAACUAACAUAUAUGUACACAUGGAAAAGUUUAACAUACUGCCUAGCUAGCCACAGUAAUGUAAAUACAGUGUGACUCAUUGGAUUCCACUGUGAAACAAUGAUAUCAUAUCACUACCUAAUCUUAACUUAAACUGAAACAUCAUCAGUCUUCUAUCGACUUCUUGGCAGCUGCACACCUUCAAGACAAAGUCAGCAUUUCAUGCGAGCAGGCGUCAACCAUUCAUCCACCUCAACACAGAGAAGUGUGACACCUUAAGGUACCUACAGUCCCAUACGAUAGUAAGAUUGCAUGGGAAUGUAUCGGAAUGAAAAGUUCAACAUGUUAAGGUUGAAAUGAAUGCAUGAUUUCCCUAGUUUCUCUACAAAACUUGAAUCCACGAUUUUCAUGGCCAAAAUCAGACUUUCACAAAGUCACACAAAUGGUUUCAGGAUUCUGUGCUUCAGUACAUUCUGUAAAACAUUGUAUGCCAUAUAAAUACAGAACACGUGUGUGUAUCUUUAUCAAAUCAUGGAUUUGUCUGUAACUAUUUCAAAUGCUUUCCAUCUAUUGUUGUACACAUGCCUUAUAGGCAUCAUACAUACGGUGUAUGUCCAUGUGCAUUCCAGAGACUAGAAUCACAUUGUGUUUGACGACUGUAAAAGUAACCACACACCAAAGCUAGUUACCGACAAAGAAAAGUCAGUAUAGGGACUUUACAGUGUGAGUGUGUCUCUUCAAAAACUAAGAAUCAGAGAUGGGCCUCCCCACUUUGGGGCCCCUUUCCUGUACAUGCACACGGGUUGUUUAAGGACACAGUGAACCAGGCUACCCGAUCUAGGGAAGGGGCCGGGCAGGGGGAACAGUGACAGGACGGCCAAGUGGAAUAAACUCUCAUGGAAUCCUUAGAGCUCACGCUGCUGGCUUAAUGCUAGAGGGAGUAGAGAGGGCUGGAAGAAGGACACGAUUGGCUGAUGUUAAAAGAGGAGGUGGAGCUCGUUCCAGUGGAGGAGAGGAUAGAUUUAUGUACUCUGCCGGCAGCAAGGCAAGGCAAAAAAAAAAAGGUGCCGAUAAGUGCAAUGUGAGCAAGUGUCUUCCAAUGUGAUAGUUUCUCAAAAGUAAAGUUACAACACAGAUGAGAGUCACUAAAAACUAAGUCUGGUAUUUGCUAAAUAAUAUUCAGAAAGAUGUAAUCAGAUUUUCUAAUAUAUAUAUGUAUGUAUAACUCCAUAUCAUAAUACAGAACAGAGCAGGUUUGGGUUUGUCCAGUAAUAGAGAACAGUCCAUCACACCUGCAUUCUUGGGAGAAAAGGAGCUGCCAUACACACAUUCUCCCGUUGGCCCCUCCCGCCACUUCUCCAUUUUCUCUCCCCUUGUUACCUUGUCUCCCCCUGUCCUGCGUUCCUCUCCUUAUGUUCCUCCCCUUUCUGUGUGAGUGUGUCUGGGUCCUGCUGGAGAGGCUUUGUCUCUGAACACUGGAGCCCGGACUGGCCCACGGGGGCCCGAUCCA